UCUUAAUAUAUUGUCUUUCGAUAAAUUAUAUGAAAUAUGGACACCCAAAAAUUUCACUUCAGAUGUAGUGGGUAACAAACAAUUAUUAUAUUGCACAGCAGGUGUACUGUGACAAUGUUUACCAAAUACAAUAACUUUAGACUUGGAUGGAUUCACACUGAGAUCAAGGAAUCCCUAUUUGUAAUAACUCAAGGCAUAGAAUAUCUAUGUUUACACUAUUAAAAGCACCUGCGAUGUCAAAGAAUACACCGACCAAGUUUUCAUUUGCGGAUAUAGAGUUUUGUAUAUCCAGCUGUAACUGGCAAACGCU
rnacentral:lncRNA from 1 species